CAGUGAUACUUGCCAGACAGACUGUAGGUGCUAAGGUCUAUGGUCGAGAGGGAAAGAGCCCAGACCGCCAAUUAAGGUCCCAAAAUUAUGGCUAAGUGGUAAAGGAAGUGAAUUGUCCAAAACAGUCAGGAGGUUGGCUUAGAAGCAGCCAUCCUUUAAAGAAAGCGUAAUAGCUCACUGAUCUAAACAAGACGAUUUGCGCCGAAGAUGUAACGGGGCUAAAGCCAUAUACCGAAGUUGCGGAAUUGCACGUAAGUGCAAUUGGUAGCGGAGCGUUCUGUAAGCCUGCGAAGGUGUUCCGUAAGGAAUGCUGGAGGUAUCAGAAGUGAGAAUGCUGACAUGAGUAGCGAAAAGAAGUGUGAGAGACACUUCCGCUGAAAGUCCAAGGUUUCCUGCGUAAAGCUAAUCUGCGCAGGGUUAGUCGGCCCCUAAGGCGAGGCAGAGAUGCGUAGUCGAUGGGAAUCAGGUUAAUAUUCCUGAACCAACUAGGAAGUGACGGAUUCAGUAAAUUGUAUGUCCUUAUUGGAUUGGAUGUGCAGUGAAUGAGUCCCGGGAAAUAGCCCUAGUAUAGACCGUACCCGAAACCGACACAGGUGGACAGGUAGAGAAUACCAAAGCGCUUGAGAGAACUAUGUUGAAGGAACUAGGCAAAAUACUUGCGUAACUUCGGGAUAAGCAAGCCCCAUUUCUGGGCAACCAGAGGUGGGGGGCACAUACUAGGGGGUAGCGACUGUUUACUAAAAACACAGGGCUCUGCUAAAUUGAAAGAUGAAGUAUAGGGUCUGACGCCUGCCCGGUGCUGGAAGGUUAAGGAGAGAUGUGCAAGCAUUGAACUGAAGCCCCAGUAAACGGCGGCCGUAACUAUAACGGUCCUAAGGUAGCGAAAUUCCUUGUCGGGUAAGUUCCGACCUGCACGAAUGGCGUAACGACUUCCCCGCUGUCUCCAACAUAGGCUCAGCGAAAUUGAAUUCUGAGUUAAGAUGCUCAGUACCCGCGGUUAGACGGAAAGACCCCGUGAACCUUUACUAUAGCUUUGCAGUGGUAUUAGGUGACAAAUGUGUAGGAUAGGUGGGAUGCUAUGAAGUUAUGACGCUAGUUGUAAUGGAGCAGACGUUGAAAUACCACCCUUUUGUUAUUUGAUAUCUAACCUGCUUCCGUUAUCCGGAAGAGGGACCCUGCAUGGUGGGUAGUUUGACUGGGGCGG
rnacentral:rRNA from 1 species